rnacentral:rRNA from 1 species
ACAUGCAAGUCGAACGCAGUAGCAAUACUGAGUGGCAAACGGGUGAGUAAUAUGUGGGAAUCUGCCUUUUGGUUCGGAAUAACACGGGGAAACUUGUGCUAAUACCGAAUAAGCCCUUACGGGGAAAGUUUUAACGCCGAAAGAUGAGCCCGCACUUGAUUAGCUAGUUGGUAAGGUAAAAGCUUACCAAGGCAACGAUCAAUAGCUGUUCUUAGAGGAAGACCAGCCACAUUGGGACUGAGACACGGCCCAGACUCCUACGGGAGGCAGCAGUGGGGAAUCUUGCACAAUGGGGGAAACCCUGAUGCAGCGAUGCCGCGUGAGUGAAGAAGGCCUUUGGGUUGUAAAACUCUUUCGUCGGGGAAGAAAAUGACUGUACCCGAAUAAGA